GCGCCGGUGAUGUAAGGCGUAGCAUUGCUGCCCGGACAGCAGAAGGUGCGGGUUCGAAUCCCGCUUGGCGCA
rfam:Heligmosomoides polygyrus genome assembly, scaffold: HPBE_scaffold0008640